CACGGGGGGGGCAAGCGUUGUUCGGAAUUACUGGGCGUAAAGGGCUCGUAGGCGGCCAACUAAGUCGGAUGUGAAAUCCCCAAGCUUAACUUGGGAACUGCAUCCGAUACUGGAUGGCUUGAAUCCGGGAGAGGGAUGCAGAAUUCCAGGUGUAGCGGUGAAAUGCGUAGAUAUCUGGAGGAAUACCGGUGGCGAAGGCGGCAUCCUGGACCGGCAUUGACGCUGAGGAGCGAAAGCUAGGGGAGCAAACGGG
rnacentral:rRNA from 1 species